rnacentral:rRNA from 1 species
UACAGAGGUCCCAAGCGUUGUUCGGAUUCAUUGGGCGUAAAGGGUGUGUAGGUGGCGCCGUAAGUCGGGUGUGAAAUUUCGGAGCUUAACUCCGAAACUGCAUUCGAUACUGCGGUGCUUGAGGACUGGAGAGGAGACUGGAAUUCAUGGUGUAGCAGUGAAAUGCGUAGAGAUCAUGAGGAAGACCAGUGGCGAAGGCGACUCACUGGACACGUAUUGACGCUGAGGUGCGAAAGCGUGGGGAGCAAACAGG